rnacentral:tRNA from 1 species
UUGUUUGUAGUCCAACGGUUUAGAUUAUUGCCUUCCAAGCAAUUGACCCGGGUUCGAUCCCCGGUAAAUACA